rnacentral:tRNA from 4 species
GCCCAGGUGGCGGAAUUGGUAGACGCGCUGGUUUCAGGUACCAGUGAUCGAAAGGUCGUGGAGGUUCGAGUCCUCUCCUGGGCACCA